rnacentral:lncRNA from 1 species
UGCUUAAACCAAUAACACGAGAUUACAUUGCAGCAGGCUGGGACCUGGCACGAGGCACGAGCCAGAAAUAAAACUGUUUGUGUAGCAACUGAAAAAAAUAGCAACAGGAGCACUGUUAAUGAGAAGAACAUUUGUCAGAUCAGAGUGUUCAUCACGUUCAGCAGAGACACACUGAAAUCAUCUAUUCACGUAGAGUCUGAAAACGUUCUACUCGUGUCUCGUUAGAUGCCACAGAAGGUAGUGUCUGGCAAUACAAGGUAAGUCACACCAUCUGGAAAUAAUUAAUAUUUUUUUUUUUAAAAUCAAGGCCUUUUAGGAAUUUGCACAGUCUGUUGCUAAAGAAAAUUAUGUAUUUAUUUUCUUUUAAAAAUGAACCGAAAUACAGCUUUAGGAAAUAUCUGUUCAUUACAUUUAGAUACAUAGUUUGAGACUGACUUAUUUCCAAAGUGUUCCUUCACAGAGUUAUGUUCACAUGCACUUUAAAUGUCUUCUACAUUCUCCACCAUAUUACACCUCAUCACAAUAUUUAUAAUAAAAAGGCUAACCUGUAAAUUCUUUAGACAUCGACAUUUAGUAUGAACAUCUGCAAUGUAUAAGAAACCCUGAAGAGUAAUUUGAUUGCACCGAGACAGAUGUAGGCUGGUAAAAUAAUAAGGCACAGUACUAUGUAUAGGGAACAGGGGUUAUUCUUUUAGCAACACAGACUUACUGACCCAGUUAGCCUGUCUGCACAAACUGUAUUUGGAUUAAAGUCACUGCACCCUCUGAGUACAGGGACAACGUUCACCUAUCCAAGACUGCUCUGAUGACCCAAGGAUUUUACGUGUUACAGCGGGAAUUAAAAACCUCCAAGAUAUCCGUGGAGUUUUAGAACACGUAAGGGCUCUUUUGUGGGAAGUAUGAAGUAUAUACUUUUCCCCAAACCCUUAUCAAAUUAAUAAAAAAAAUAAUUCAAGUGGUAUCUGUGAUAAGCACUAAGUAUAAAAGCAUGAUGUCCCAUUCUCAAAACUGCCAGGUACCCACAGCUCCGAGAGCUCAACACAUG